GUCUCGCUCCCGCUCUCAGGGAACCGAGGUUACGAUAGUAACCGGAGAUGUUUCUUCAUGCACCUCAAUCCAGUCCAUUAGGUGACUUCAAGCUGGCUGUCAACCGCCAAUCAAAUCAAAGCGUGCCGUAAAAGAUUUCAAAUGCGCAACAGACAGCGACGAGACAUAAGGGCAGCGACAAAGUAGUUUUUAGAGGUAAGUAAUAAAAGAUAAAAAAACGCCAUAAAAUAUAACCCCUAGAAAUAAUAAUAAUAAUAAUAAUAAUAAUAAUAAUAUAAAAAUCUGUGUACUUUCUUCACAGAUUCAGAUAAUAGAAGCACAUCGACUGUUUUUCAUUUCACAUGUAUUUCAUUAUUCAUCUUCCUUACAACUUUUGUUUUUCUGGACAAAUCCAAGUGAUCGGCCAUGCUAAGAGUCACGUGAACGUGUGCCGUACAGACCAACGCCCAAGGCCCAUCAGAGGGAUAUUUCCCAGGUUUGCUUCCAUAAGGUAAGAAUUAAUUAAUGUAAAUUGUUACCUGCGACAGGUGUUGCAUACUCUUUAUUUUUACUUCUUUUUUUAAAUCUAGGUCAGAGGAUGGUGGGUUGUUUUUUAUUUAUUUAUUUUGAGAAAAUAAAGUUUUCCAUUUAACACACAUCUACCAGGUGACUGUUGUUUUUAAUGUUUUUAGCAGGAAAACUACAUUCCCAUGCCAUUUAUUUGUAACCUAUCCUUGUUUUGUGCAAAUAUGUCCCUGAAACUCUUUUAGGUUGGCCAUUUUGCUGUUGUGGGAGGAGCAUCAGUUGAGGCAUGGACUGUAGUCUAACCAAUGAGCCGCCUCUCAGAUGAGUUGGGCAGCAGGAGACUGAAAGAUGAGCCUGAACAAAAAAACUACAUUUAGAGGCACCAGGUGUGCAUGUUUGAUGCCUUACAACAAUAACAACAUGAAAGCUGAGAAAGAGGAGUCCUCAGAGAUCAUCUUUGCUGUGACGGUGCAAAAACGGCAUGGUUGUGCCCCUGAACAGCUUGAGGCAUUGCCUUGUGCUGGAAAGCCCUGAGUUCAUCAGACUAUCUGUUUAAUAAGCAGUAAGGAUGUCCUUUUUGAAUCAGGAAAGUAGCUUCAAGUGCUGAACAGCAAACUGUGAUAAUGUGUCAGUCUGUUGUACUUUGGUGUUUCUGCCUUUGUUGGUGAGUCUAUUUGCAUUUACUUCCACUUUACAGAUCCAGUUUGUGUUUGUUGUCAGUUUUACCAGAUCUUCUGGCAUUUGCUUAAAUUCGGAAUGAAUUAUUCCAUGUAAUUAAGUCAUUUUUUCAUCCAUUUUAUCAUAUUCUGUGCCUAUGUUGUAUUUUAAGCUCUGUCUCCCGGUUUCACAGACAGGGCUUAAGCCUAGUCCCAGACUAAAAUGCAUGUUUGAGCUGUCUUAACUGAAAAUAACUUGCUCUGACAGAUCUUAAAAUGUGUCUGUCAUUGUUUUGUCUCAAGAUGCACACCAGUAUUGUGUUUUUCCUCAGGCAUUUUUUAUAAAAACUUUAAAUAUCCUAAUUUUACUAGGUCUAAUCCUUUAUUAAUAGUUCAUCCCUGUCUGUGAAUCAGGGCCUAUAUCUAUUGAGGGCACCACAAUUUUUUUGUUUGUUUGUUUUUGUUUUGUUUUAAAUAAAAUAAUCACUUGUUUUACUCAAAUGUGAUGCUAUUUUCCAGUUCAAAUAGUUUGUUUAAAUCAUGUGGGGGCAAAAAUAAAUAUUUGCAUGUAAACUGAAGGAUGUUGUUUACUUUGAGUGACAUUUUGAUGCAAAACCAUAUUAAUUGCAAUCCUGCAUGUUCUCUGAUUGAAAAGAGUAAAAAUCAAGAUCAGUUUGAUCAUAUUUUCAUGAAGAUUGAAUGUUAAAUAAGUGGUUUAGCUGCAGUCGGAUACUUUUAAUUAGUGAAUGAAUCGUUUGGUGCGAUUUGUGAACCGAUUUAAAAGGUUCAUUGAAAAGAAUCAGUUCAUUCUUGAAUCAGACACCGCUUCUGCGUGUCGGAGCAUGUGAUGAUAUAUAAUGAGUAACGAUAUGUUUUAUGAAAUGUAGUGAAGUAAAAAGUAUGAUCUUAUGCUUUGGAGUGAAGUGAAGUAAAAGUUACUCAAAAUAAAAAUACUCCAGUAAAGUACAGAUAGUUGAAGAAUGUAAGUAAAGCUACUCCGUUACUGUCCACCUCUGUUCCACAGACAGUGUCACCAAGACACAACCUCAUGUCAUAAGUAUUACACAUCUAGAUGUCAAGACUACAUGAACAAAGUCUGCUUUAUAUCACUGUCUGCAUCCGGGCCUAUUCAGAGAGGCCUUUUGUUCAGGGCCACUAUAACAGCAGGAAUCAGGCUUUUCCAGAAGCCAGCCCUUCUGCACCUUAGUAUCCCAGGUGAACAGUCAUUAAAACAAAAUAAAUAAAUAAAAAUAAUUCAUAUAGACAGUAAAUACUUUUUUGGUUCCUGAAUGACUCAGUGCUUUGAAAUAAUUUGUUUAAUGAUUCUUAAAGACUUAUUUGUGCCACUGGCAUAACAAUGUCAUGUGCAGAAAGAGUCUCUUUAAGUCCCCCACUACUAAAUUACUGUCUUGUAACGUGAAACCAAGAUGUUUUAACUUUAAAUAAUUUAAUAACACUUCCUCCAGUGAAAAAGUGCAUCUCCUGUUGUCUCUCACAACAGAAUCCAGACACAUAUUAGUUUAGAGCUGUUUAAACGCUGCUUGAUCUGUGCAGAUUUCUC
ensembl:lncRNA